rnacentral:rRNA from 1 species
CCUACGGGAGGCUGCAGUGGGGAAUAUUGCACAAUGGGCGCAAGCCUGAUGCAGCCAUGCCGCGUGUGUGAAGAAGGCCUUCGGGUUGUAAAGCACUUUCAGCGGGGAGGAAGGCGUUAAGGUUAAUAACCUUGUCGAUUGACGUUACCCGCAGAAGAAGCACCGGCUAACUCCGUGCCAGCAGCCGCGGUAAUACGGAGGGUGCAAGCGUUAAUCGGAAUUACUGGGCGUAAAGCGCACGCAGGCGGUCUGUCAAGUCGGAUGUGAAAUCCCCGGGCUCAACCUGGGAACUGCAUUCGAAACUGGCAGGCUAGAGUCUUGUAGAGGGGGGUAGAAUUCCAGGUGUAGCGGUGAAAUGCGUAGAGAUCUGGAGGAAUACCGGCGGCGAAGGCGGCCCCCUGGACAAAGACUGACGCUCAGGUGCGAAAGCGUGGGGAGCAAACAGGAUUAGAUACCCCUGUAGUC